GACGAAAAGCCUCAACGCAUAUAUUGUUCUAUAGGGAUGGUGUGAGUGAAGCUGUGAAGGCCACGUCCGUGGCGUAUGUGCUAUUUUUACCAUCACGAUCCCUUGUGACUUCCAUUUUUGUAAUUGCUCCAUACAGACCUGGAGUUGUAAUAGUUCCACGUUUGUCUUUGUUACUUAUUUGUGUUUGGACUUGAGCUGAGGUGGAUGGUGUACGUGGGGAUUUGGAUGUCAGUCUGAGCUGCUGUGAUAUAUAUGAACUUUUUAGUGUUGAUUAUUUCACAUGUGACCUGAAUAUGUUCGAAAAAGCAAGAUGGUAAAGGCAAAAUUUUGACUUUUUUUUUUGUA